AAGACUAUACUUUCAGGGAUCAUUUCUAUAGUAUGUUACUCAUUCUUAAAAAUUCUCUGUAAAUGUAAACUGACAAUCCAACAAGGU
rnacentral:snoRNA from 1 species